CUUAAAACGUUGAACGGACCAAAUUAGUUUUUAAGGCACAGAGAGCUGAGAUAUGGUGUAAAUCAGCCCUUCGAAACUAGUGGCACAUCCGUGAGUUGAUUAUCUGAACGAAGUAAGAUAAUCCGUUAGCCCGUUAUCGCUGUAGUUUUAGAAACUACAUAAGUUUAAGCAAUGUGAGUUGUUUAUUAAACUGAGGUGGAACCGCGAUAAUAUUCGUCCUCUUG
rfam:Lactobacillus sakei strain 23K complete genome.